AUUCUGCCCAUGCGGGGAAGGAUAAGAAGCUUCGAUUAAGGUUCGAUUCGAGCGUAGCGAGAACGCGUUGCCGCAGGCAACGACCCGAAGGGCGAGGCGCAAUGCGCCGAGUAAUCCUUCCCCCACCACCA
rnacentral:sRNA from 1 species